rnacentral:precursor_RNA from 1 species
CGUGGAGAUUUUGUUGAGAUGCUACGAGCGUGUAAAUGUUUCAUGUUUGUUGUUUGAUUUUACUGACUGCUGAUUUCUUU